AGUGAACGCUGGCGGUAGGCCUAACACAUGCAAGUCGAACGGCAGCACAGUAAGAGCUUGCUCUUACGGGUGGCGAGUGGCGGACGGGUGAGGAAUACAUCGGAAUCUACUUUUUCGUGGGGGAUAACGUAGGGAAACUUACGCUAAUACCGCAUACGACCUACGGGUGAAAGCAGGGGAUCUUCGGACCUUGCGCGAUUGAAUGAGCCGAUGUCGGAUUAGCUAGUUGGCGGGGUAAAGGCCCACCAAGGCGACGAUCCGUAGCUGGUCUGAGAGGAUGAUCGGCCACCCUGGAACUGAGACCCGGUCCAGGCUCCUACGGGAGGCAGCAGUGGGGAAUAUUGGACAGUGGGCGCAAGCCUGAUCCAGCCAUACCGCGUGGGUGAAGAAGGCCUUCGGGUUGUAAAGCCCUUUUGUUGGGAAAGAAAAGCAGCAGGUUAAUACCCCGCUGUUCUGACGGUACCCAAAGAAUAAGCACCGGCUAACUUCGUG
rnacentral:rRNA from 1 species